rnacentral:rRNA from 1 species
UACAGAGGGUGCGAGCGUUGUCCGAAAUCACUGGGCGUAAAGGGCGCGUAGGUGGCGACCCAAGUCGAUGGUGAAAGCUCGCCGCUCAACGGCGAGUCGGCCACCGAUACUGGGUUGCUGGAGCACUGUAGAGGCUCAUGGAAUUCCGGGUGUAGCGGUGGAAUGCGUAGAGAUCCGGAAGAACACCGGUGGCGAAGGCGGUGAGCUGGGCAGUUGCUGACACUGAGGCGCGACAGCGUGGGGAGCAAACAGG